GGCACUGUGGCCCUCCAGGACUGGAAUUUGACACCCCUGAUCUACCCCUUUGGCCACUCCGUCACCAAAUUGAGCAGCGGGGAGAGUGACGAAACACAGACCCCAAACCUGAGCUUGUAUUCUUAAUGCAGUGUUGAAAGCAAGCAGCCACUCUGAACAACUCUGUGUGAGCACCAGGCCUGGACUCCAGCUGGCUGAGGAAGUAAAGUUGUGUCAAGUGAAGAAGAAACUGAGAUCAGCAUGGCCUGUGGUCCCAAUGCCAAGGAACACUGGGACCCACAAAACCACACGAGGAUGACAUCUCAUGUUCUCUGAAGAGAAGCUGUGUAUGACAGAUGCAUUUGUGAUUUGGACAGAGAUAUGAAGC